UGUACUACUCGUGAAUCAUCGAAUCUUUGAACGCAUCUUGCACUUUUUAGGCCUCCUAGAAAGUAUACUUGUUUGAGUAUCAUUAACAUUAACUCCAAGCUUCCGCUUGGGAAUUGAGACCUUAAGCAGCGCAAGCAGCCUAUGUCUUUUAAGUGAUACGUAGAGUGUUGUGUCACACACAUCGUGUGUUUCGCAAGCCUCCUCCCAUACCAAAUGUGAGAUAAACAUCGCACAGAGUAGUUGAGAAGGUUAAGCUUUACUACGCCUAGAAGUGUGUGUGGUGUUAACACACCGCAUGCCUUCAACCCCAAUUGAAUCAGUGAUCUCAAAUCAAGUAAGACUACCCGCUGAACUUAAGCAUAUCAAUAAGCGGAGG
rnacentral:rRNA from 1 species